GACGAACGCUGGCGGCGUGCCUAAUACAUGCGAGUAGAACGCACAGUUUAUACCGUAGCUUGCUACACCAUAGACUGUGAGUUGCGAACGGGUGAGUAACGCGUAGGUAACCUGCCUGGUAGCGGGGGAUAACUAUUGGAAACGAUAGCUAAUACCGCAUAAUAUUAAUUAUUGCAUGAUAAUUAAUUGAAAGGUGCAAUUGCACCACUACCAGAUGGACCUGCGUUGUAUUAGCUAGUAGGUGAGGUAACGGCUCACCUAGGCGACGAUACAUAGCCGACCUGAGAGGGUGAUCGGCCAAACUGGGACUGAGACACGGCCCAGACUCCUACGGGAGGCAGCAGUAGGGAAUCUUCGGCAAUGGACGAAAGUCUGACCGAGCAACGCCGCGUGAGUGAAGAAGGUUUUCGGAUCGUAAAGCUCUGUUGUAAGAGAAGAACGGGUGUGAGAGUGGAAAGUUCACACUGUGACGGUAUCUUACCAGAAAGGGACGGCUAACUACGUG
rnacentral:rRNA from 1 species